CGGACAUCAAAUUGUGUGUUAUACGCUGUAACUCGCACCUUGCGAUGCAGGUGGAUAACUCUUUAUGAAUUUUGUUACUUUUGUAUACAUUAGGAAUUAUUCAAGAUAUAAAUCCCGGUUAAUUAAUUUCCACUUUUGCAGGUACUGCCCCAGUCCGCACACCGCCCAGCACGGUAUUCACGACGCCGCCACAGUAGCGGCUACUGUAACAACGCACACGUAACACGCGCUAUAGGAAGCAGCAAGAACCGCCACAGUAGCGAGUACAGCGCGCAGCGAAGCAACAACGUGCGCAGGCAACAACAUCCGCCACAGCAGCGGGUGCAACAACGCGCGGAAGCAACACCGAGCCAUCCACAACAACAACCGCCACAGCAGCGGGUGCAACAAUGCCCGCCACAGCAGCGUGGACAACAGCGCGCAACACCAACAACAACAGCGCACAACGCUAACAGUAGCAGCGCUCAACACCAGCAACAACAGCGCACAACCCCAGCGACUACAACAACAGCAGGCCACACCCAAGCCUGCUGCAACAAGGGUGAGUCCUUCGGGCCUAAACUAAGUUUUUUUUUCCAAUA